rnacentral:hammerhead_ribozyme from 1 species
AUCCAGCUGGCGAGUCUCAAAUAGGACGAAACGCGUGUUCUGAAU